CACGUAGGGCGCAAGCGUUGUCCGGAAUUAUUGGGCGUAAAGAGCUCGUAGGCGGUCUGUUGCGUCCGCUGUGAAAACCCGGGGCUUAACCCUGGGCUGGCAGUGGAUACGGACAGACUAGAGGUAGGUAGGGGAGAAUGGAAUUCCCGGUGUAGCGGUGAAAUGCGCAGAUAUCGGGAGGAACACCGGUGGCGAAGGCGGCGACCUGGGUAGAUACUGACGCUGAGGUGCGAAAGCGUGGGGAGCAAACAGG
rnacentral:rRNA from 1 species